UACGUAGGGGGCAAGCGUUAUCCGGAUUUACUGGGUGUAAAGGGAGCGUAGACGGCUGUGCAAGCCAGAUGUGAAAGCCCGGGGCUCAACCCCGGGACUGCAUUUGGAACUGCGUGGCUUGAGUGUCGGAGAGGCAGGCGGAAUUCCUAGUGUAGCGGUGAAAUGCGUAGAUAUUAGGAGGAACACCAGUGGCGAAGGCGGCCUGCUGGACGAUGACUGACGUUGAGGCUCGAAAGCGUGGGGAGCAAACAGG
rnacentral:rRNA from 1 species